UCCAUGUAAUGAUUAAACCAAAAGAGCUCCCUUUCUCUCUCAUACGCACGCACGUUUUCUCCAAGUCACACCCCCUGGUGAUUGCAUCUGUGGCUAUCCUAUCUGGAUUCGCGUUCUUUUCGCCAAUCCUGGAUUACCCUUUUCUUGUCUCCUCUUCUGGGUUCUUUGUAUAGUGAAUGAAGUGCAAUCAAUCUUGGUCAAUCCUUUGCUGGUCUCGUCGAUAGAAUUGAAUCCUCUGUUGGAUCGCCAUGGCUGGGAAAAUGGGCUCGCUGAGAGAGCGGCUGAUCUCGAACAGGGGUUACUCGGAGCUGGGGUUCUCCCACAUGGGAUCGAUGAACGACUGGAACGUCUCCCGCUGCUCGUACCGCGGCGUCUGCGAGACCGUCGCGAGGUGGUGGAAGAACUUGGGGCAGGUCGCCUUCAAGGCGUAUAACAUGGGCAAGUCCGAUCCGAGGAAGAUUGUGUUCUCGGCGAAGAUGGGCCUGGCUUUGACGCUUGUCUCGUUGUUGAUAUUCUUGAAAGAGCCGUUCAACUUCAAGGAUUUGAGUCGGUACUCUGUUUGGGCGCUUCUCACGGUCGUCGUUGUGUUCGAGUUCAGCAUAGGUGCUACUCUUAGCAAGGGAUUGAACCGGGGCAUAGGGACAUUAUCAGCAGGAGGGCUUGCUCUAGGCAUGGCAGAGUUGUCUCAGAAGGCUGGAGAGUGGGAAGAACCUGUUAUUAUCCUUAGUAUAUUCCUUAUAGGAUCUAUUGCAACUUAUGCAAAACUGUACCCGACAAUGAAGCCUUACGAAUACGGGUUUAGAGUUUUCUUGUUGACAUAUUCGCUUGUAAUGGUGUCCGGAUAUAGGACAAGGGAAUUUAUCCAUACAGCUGUUUCACGCUUCUUCCUCAUUGCACUAGGAGCUGGUGUUGGCCUGGCAGUAAAUGUUUGCAUUUUUCCCAUCUGGGCUGGCGAGGACUUGCAUAAGUUAGUGGUUAAGAACUUCAUGGGGGUCGCAACUUCUUUGGAAGGUUGUGUUAAUGGGUACCUCAAUUGUAUUGAGUAUGAAAGGGUUCCCUCGAAAAUUCUUACUUACCAGGCCUCUGAUGAUCCACUCUAUAAUGGCUACAGAGCAGCUGUAGAAUCCACCAGCAAAGAAGAUGCUCUGUUGGGUUUUGCUAUCUGGGAGCCACCUCAUGGUCCAUACAGAGCAUUUAGGUAUCCCUGGAAGAACUAUGUUAAAGUAAGCGGUGCACUGAGGCAUUGCGCAUUCAUGGUCAUGGCACUGCACGGAAGCAUACUUUCUGAAAUCCAGGCUCCAGCUGAGCAAAGACAGGUCUUUCGCAAUGAGCUGCAGCGGGUAGGUACUGAGGGUGCUAAGGUAUUACGCGAACUCGGGAAUAAGGUAAAGAACAUGGAAAAAUUAGGGCCUGUAGACAUACUCUUCGAAGUGCAUGAGGCUGCAGAAGAGUUGCAGAACAAAGUUGACCGGAAGUCGUACCUUUUAGUCAACUCAGAGAGCUGGGAAAUCGGAAACCGAGCAAAACACCCAUCAGAGCCUCAAGAUCUUCUUAACUUUGAUGAUGACGAAAAUAAGGUUUUACCAUAUAAGUCACUUAGUGAAGCUGUACUAGAUCUCAGGUCAUUUUCUGCACUAAGAAGUCUGGACUCCAUGAAGCCAAACACAGGGUUGAAACCCCCGGUUCCUGUACUUAUUCCCUCGGAUGGUGUGAUGACGAAACAGAUAUCAUGGCCUGCAGGAAUCUCGCUGACAACCAAUCCUGUUGUCGAAGAAUCAAAAACAUAUGAAAGCGCAAGUGCUUUGUCUCUAGCAACUUUCACAUCGCUCCUCAUUGAGUUUGUUGCAAGGUUACAAAAUCUUGUGGACGCUUUUGAAGAAUUAAGUGAAAAGGCAAAUUUCAGGGAACCAGUUGAGCAAUCGGCAGUAGCAGAGCCUGUAGGGAUAUUUGGCAGAUUGCAGAGAUUCAUCAAGUGUUGUUGAUAAUUGGACGUUACACGCGGCAGGUAAGAAUGAACAGCCUGCCAGAGCCAAAAUGAAGAUACAAAUUUUCGUGCUUGGUUUCUGUCAUCGAUCUUGGAGGUUGACACUGACCUGUUGAGGAAGCCUUUCAGCAUCAAAGUGGAGUGCUGGUGUCUGCUGGCAGUUUAUCCGAGUUAACAAAGCGAGCAUACUCAGGAGAAAGUUAGUCGAAACUGGACGAUAGAAAUGGUCCCUACUGGACCAAAAUUUAACACGACUGUGCAAUGAAACAAAAAUCUGAUCAGGAAUUUACAACAGUGGCCUAUGACCAUCAAGAUGUUGAAAUAUACUCAAUUUUCUUAUGUAUUCUGUUUUUUGAUUUCUCACGGCCUCAAACCGGAACUGGCGGAGUAACAGUGUAGUUAUCAUUUCCUUGUAUUCAGGUGUACUGCUUCUCGUAGAAUAUCUAACCUGUUUCACAUUGCUGCAGGCUACAUCAUAAUAGUACUUGUGAGUCGUGAAUAGGCUCAUUGGAACUAAAGCAAACUACAGAAAAGAGAGCAGAAGCUAGGCAAUUUUCCUACAAAAGUAAAAUUACUGACAGG